rnacentral:lncRNA from 10 species
CUUCUCAGUACAUAAGUGAGAUGAAAAAUGUCCUUUCUGUCUAGCACACUUUUAAUUGAGUUUUAUGUUGCUCGUAGCUGAAAGCACCCUGAAGGAUGCAUUAUUUCAGAAGGGACCCACAUAGGAGAGCCAUGAUGGAAGGGGACACCCACCUAAUUGGGCACAUUGCUGAAUCAAUCCUUGGGACCAAUGUGAUGAAGAUGUCACAGUUCGAUUGCCCAGAGACUCUGAAAAAAGAAAAAAAGAAACUCUCAUGAUUUUCGUGGGGAUUCACAGACAAACAAGAUCAGACGUAACAGAGAGAGACAGAGACUGAGAGAGAGACAGAGAGAAAGAGGGGACUGGAUUCUUUAUAAAAUAAGAAAAGGAAAUAACACAGAAAGAAAGAACAUAAAAACAGGCGUUCAAAGCUCCCAAAUGCUAUCAUCCCUCAGAACACACUCCUGUUCUCAUUCUUUGAAUGGGGAAGAGAAAAAAGCAGCCAAAACAUAAAUUCUUGAAACACUAUAGACCCUGAGCAAAUUGAUUCUCUAAUAAAUAUGAAUUAAAUCUCUCCUAUGUAUUAGGCAUAGGAGAGGAGAGAAAAUCAAAUGGGUGGAACAGAGCAUUAGUCAGAGUUCUCCAGAGAAACAGAACCAGUAGGAUGUGUAUAUGCACCAAAAGAGACU